AUGGUAUAAAAGGAUGAAAAGUAGCAAAGGUAAAACAAUGGCGAUUUGAAUGCUUACAUUACGCAUUUUUAGCCCUCGGAAUAGGCAGAAAUGAUUGGUGUGUUCCAGGUAAGAAACCAGACACAGUAGCAUGUAAAAUUGUGGAGUGAUAUUCCCAAACAAUUCAACUUAAUUAAUAGGUUGUUGUAUGUGAACUUUUUAC
rnacentral:lncRNA from 1 species